rnacentral:lncRNA from 1 species
CGCCAGAUGAUAGACAACCAGGCCAGUAGGAUUAACUAAAUUAAAAUCUUUCCCUGCUCCUCUGAUGUAAGAUAUCUAUAAGAACUGCUUACAAAUCAUAAUGUAGCAGUUUUCAUACCAAGUUUGCAGCUGUUUCCUUAAUUUCCCCCACAAUUAUAUUUUACUGUUAUUUUGUCAAAUUCAUGUCUAGACCGCUGUGACCUCUGAGUAACAAUCUCUGCACCCAGUACUAGAAAGAUUUUAAAUGUUUCUGGAGUAAACACACUAAUUAAACCAAGCAAAUGUGGCCUAGAAAUAAAAUAUACAUACCUAAUAUUUAAACAUCUAGGCAAUGACUUGUAGCAGUUAGCAUGAUACCCACCCAAGUUCUACUAUUUGAAGCUAAGAAGAGACAGAACUUAGCAGCUGAUCAAUUUGCACUUCUACAUGGUCCGCUUGAUCCUAAUGUCAUCCUUCUCUAUCACUGAACAUCUAUGCCUCUUU